CAUUACCGUCUAUGUGUUGCAGACGAGAUACAGAAGAUACAGCGAUGAUGGAAAGGUCCAGAAAAAGAGGACAAAGAGUUUUAUAUGCAAAAUUCAAGAUUUUAUGUUUGACCAAUUGGCUGUAAAAGACUGAAUGUAUGCAGAGGGAGUUUCCAGGAGGGGAUUUCUGAACAUGUCAAAAAGUUGAUGGACUUUAAAAAGGACUGUAAAGGAAUGUCCAGCCAGAGGCAGAUUCACCAAGGACGUCUCCGGUGUUAGAUACCUUGCUAUUGCACCUCAUGAAGUUAAAAGCUUGUAAAUUAUUUGGUUUUGAUUUACUUACAAUAUAUAUAUAUAUAUAUAUAUAUAUAUAUAUAUAUAUAUAUA